GUCAAGUAAUUAAGUGCAUGUGGUGGAUGCCUUGGCAGUCAGAGGCGAUGAAAGACGUGAUAGCCUGCGAAAAGCUCCGGGGAGGCGGCAAAUAUCCUUUGAUCCGGAGAUGUCUGAAUGGGGGAACCCACCUACUUUAAGGUAGGUAUUGCAACAUGAAUACAUAGUGUUGCAAGGCGAACGAGGGGAAGUGAAACAUCUCAGUACCCUUAGGAAAAGAAAUCAAUUGAGAUUCCCUCAGUAGCGGCGAGCGAACGGGGAUCAGCCCAUUAAGUUAUGUGUGUUUUAGUGGAACGCUCUGGGAAGUGCGAACGUAGAGGGUGAUAUUCCCGUACACGAAAGGGCACACAUAAUGAUGACGAGUAGGGCGAGGCACGUGAAACCUUGUCUGAAUAUGGGGGGACCAUCCUCCAAGGCUAAAUACUCCUGACUGACCGAUAGUGAACCAGUACCGUGAGGGAAAGGCGAAAAGAACCCCUGUGAGGGGAGUGAAAUAGAUCCUGAAACCGCAUGCAUACAAGCAGUGGGAGCACCUUCGUGGUGUGACUGCGUACCUUUUGUAUAAUGGGUCAGCGACUUAUAUUCAGUAGCGAGGUUAACCGUAUAGGGGAGCCGUAGAGAAAUCGAGUCUUAAUAGGGCGUUUAGUUGCUGGGUAUAGACCCGAAACCAGGCGAUCUAUCCAUGAGCAGGUUGAAGGUUGGGUAACACUAACUGGAGGACCGAACCCACUGUCGUUGAAAAGCCAGGGGAUGACUUGUGGAUAGGGGUGAAAGGCUAAUCAAGCCUGGUGAUAGCUGGUUCUCCCCGAAAGCUAUUUAGGUAGCGCCUCGGACGAAUACCAUAGGGGGUAGAGCACUGUUUCGGCUAGGGGGUCAUCCCGACUUACCAAACCGAUGCAAACUCCGAAUACCUAUGAGUACUAUCCGGGAGACAGACUGCGGGUGCUAACGUCCGUAGUCAAGAGGAAAACAAUCCAGACCGCCAGCUAAGGCCCCAAAAUCAUAGUUAAGUGGGAAACGAUGUGGGAAGGCAUAGACAGCUAGGAGGUUGGCUUAGAAGCAGCCACCCUUUAAAGAAAGCGUAAUAGCUCACUAGUCGAGUCGGCCUGCGCGGAAGAUGUAACGGGGCUAAAACUAUGUGCCGAAGCUGCGGAUGUAU
rnacentral:rRNA from 1 species